UCCGAUCUCUCCACCCAGACUCAUCCAUUUGCGUGCCCAUAGAGAGUUUCUGUUGGUACUGAUAUUGUCCAAAGGAACUCGGCAAGUUGACCCCGUAACUUCGGGAGAAGGGGUGCUUACGAAGGUAAGCCGCAGAGAAUAGGCCCAAGCGACUGUUUAGCAAAAACACAGCUCUAUGCUAAAUCGAAAGAUGACGUAUAUGGGGUGACACCUGCCCGGUGCUGGAAGGUUAAGAGGAGAUGUGAGAGCAUUGAAUUGAAGCCCCAGUAAACGGCGGCCGUAACGAUAACGGUCCUAAGGUAGCGAAAUUCCUUGUCAGGUAAGUUCUGACCCGCACGAAUGGUGUAACGAUUUGGGCACUGUCUCAACAACCUACCCGGCGAAAUUGUAGUACCGGUGAAGAUGCCGGUUACCCGCGACUAGACGGAAAGACCCCAUGGAGCUUCACUGUAGCUUAAUAUUGAAUUUUGGUAUUUUAUGUACAGGAUAGGUGGGAGACUGGGAAAUACAGGCGUCAGCUUGUAUGGAGUCACUGUUGGGAUACCACUCUUGAGGUGCUGAAAUUCUAACCUGCGUCUUUGAAUCAAGACGGGGGACAUUGUUAGGUGGGCAGUUUGACUGGGGCGGUCGCCUCCAAAAGAGUAACGGAGGCGCUCAAAGGUUCGCUCAGCAUGGACGGAAACCAUGCCAAAGAGUGCAAACGCAAAAGCGAGCCUAACUGCGAGACUGACGGGUCGAGCAGUAACGAAAGUUGGAGUUAGUGAUCCGGCGGUAUGUGAGUGGAAAUGCCGUCGCUCAACGGAUAAAAGCUACCCUGGGGAUAACAGGCUGAUCUCCCCCAAGAGUCCACAUCGACGGGGAGGUUUGGCACCUCGAUGUCGGCUCAUCGCAUCCUGGGGCUGAAUUCGGUCCCAAGGGUUUGGCUGUUCGCCAAUUAAAGCGGUACGCGAGCUGGGUUCAGAACGUCGUGAGACAGUUCGGUCCCUAUCUGUCGUGGGCGUAGGAUAUUUGAAAGGAGCUGUCCCUAGUACGAGAGGACCGGGAUGGACGCACCUCUGGUGAACCAGUUGUCACGCCAGUGGCACGGCUGGGCAGCUAAGUGCGGAACGGAUAAACGCUGAAAGCAUCUAAGCGUGAAGCCGACCUUAAGACAAGAUAUCCGUUCUUCGGAAUAAGACCCCUUGUAGACUACGAGGUUGAUAGGCUUAAAGUGUAAGCAUGGUGACAUGUUUAGCUUGCAAGUACUAAUCGGUCGAUUGCUUUUGCAA
rnacentral:rRNA from 1 species